rnacentral:rRNA from 1 species
GAUGAACGCUAGCGGCAGGCUUAAUACAUGCAAGUCGAGGGGCAGCAGCUCUGUAGCAAUACAGAGGCUGGCGACCGGCAAACGGGUGCGGAACACGUACGCAACUUACCCAUAACUGGUGAAUAGCCCUCCGAAAGGAGGAUUAAUACAUCGUAACAUAAUGAGAUGGCAUCAUUUUAUUAUUAUAGCUCUCGGGCGGUUAUGGAUGGGCGUGCGGCUGAUUAGGUAGUUGGCGGAGUAAUAGCCCACCAAGCCAACGAUCAGUAACUGGUGUGAGAGCACGACCAGUCACACGGGCACUGAGACACGGGCCCGACUCCUACGGGAGCAGCAGUAAGGAAUAUUGGUCAAUGGACGCAAGUCUGAACCAGCCAUGCCGCGUGAAGGAUG